UACAGAGGUGGCAAGCGUUGUUCGGAAUUACUGGGCGUAAAGGGCGAGUAGGCGGCCUUCUAAGUCAGACGUGAAAUCCCCCGGCUUAACCUGGGAACUGCGUCUGAUACUGGGAGGCUUGAGUAUGGGAGAGGGAUGUAGAAUUCCAGGUGUAGCGGUGAAAUGCGUAGAUAUCUGGAGGAAUACCGGUGGCGAAGGCGGCAUCCUGGACCGACAUUGACGCUGAACGGCGAAAGCUAGGGGAGCAAACGGG
rnacentral:rRNA from 1 species